UACGGAAGGGGCAAGCGUUGUUCGGAAUCAUUGGGCGUAAAGGGCGCGUAGGUGGUUUUGUAUGUCUCCCGUGAAAGGCCACGGCUCAACUGUGGGGUGUCGGGAGAAACUGCAGGACUUGAGGCUGGGAGGGGCUGGUGGAAUUCCCUGUGUAGCGGUGAAAUGCGUAGAGAUGGGGGAGAACACUCGUGGCGAAGGCGGCCAGCUAGACCAGUUCUGACACUGAGGCGCGACAGCGUGGGGAGCAAACAGG
rnacentral:rRNA from 1 species